UGUGAUUCACAUGCAGUCUGUGUAUAUACACAUAGAGAGUGCAACAUCUGUGCCUGUCACUGAAAUCAGUGCAAAAGUUAUAAUACAGCAAGCCGUUUACAGUUUACACUGACUAAAGCUCAACCGAGGAAAAUGUUGCUCAAAGCUUCUCAGCAAAACAUGAUUCUCCAUGUAUUGUAAUAUAGAGUCCUGUGAAAACAGCUGGAGAGGCUAUAUGACUGAAAUACACAUCUGUGUGUUGAGAGCAAAUACAGUGCACUGAGGAUCCAGGCCUAUAGGGGGCAGUGUGAUACUACAAAAGAAAGCUGAUACUGAACAUCAUGAUUUCACAGACUACACAGAGCACUGGAACCACAAAAAAGUGCAGAAGUGUACAGUGCUGACAGCAUGUACUGUGUUGUUUGUUGCUUAUGAAGGCCAAACGCAGCGAGUGCUCUUGAAAUUACAGGAAUUUAAAUCUAUUUUUUGAGGUUUGAUUUGUGGUGGUUGCUCAUAAACAUCAGCCAAACCCCUGUGUGCCUGAAAUUUUGUGAGAUGAGCUGCCUUGUGAGAGAAAAUUACUGUCUGUCUCCACCACCCAAAAGGACUGAGUGAGAGAGCUGAGAGGAAGGCUUUUCUGUUGCGGCUGGUCGCUCAGGUCGAGGAGCAUGUCUUCGGUUCCGGUUGGAUCACAAGGUUUUUCCGCUCACGGGUCACCAUGGCGACCCCUUCAAGAAAACGUGUGUGUGUGUGUGUGUGUGUACGUGUUUAUGUGGAAUGUGAGUAUGCAUGUGUGUGCGUGCAUACAUUUUUGUGUGUAUCUCAGUGUGUUUGUGCCCCAGUCAGCCUCAGUACUCUGCUGUGCUGUCACCUGCAGCCAGAUAAGCCAAAGGAUUUAUCACCCAGUGAAUUGCCUUUGAGUGGUGGAUAAAAUGGCUCCAAUACAUUCUCAUAUGAAAACGCUGCGAGGUUAAUGAGAGCCAAAUUCACAGAGGGCUAAAUCUAUUAGGUUUUCAUGGAUGGAAUCAAUCAACAUGCACCACACCGGCUGAUUUGUCAUAUUGAGGCAUUGCCCGUUUGAAUUCCAAAACACAGUCCUCCUCACGGAAUGAUUCACUUUGAUUUUGAUUGCCUCUUCAUCAAGAAGAUGACAGCUAUGAACUAAUUUUCUUUUCUAUCAUGUUACACACUUAUUAGCUCCGGCUCUCCUUGGCAGAUGACUGAUUCUCUCCCUUUAUAGAGCUACAGUUGGAUUUUCCUCAGGUCUCUUCAAACAAUCACAAUGUUCCUGUAUUCUUUUUGAAUCAAAUUAUUUAGUUUUCACAGUUUCUCAUUUGCGUAACAGAUUAGCCUUUGACUAAUUAUAUUCCUUUAUCCUGCUCAUGCAUGUCUUGCAGAUAGAUUUGACUGAUACAGAGAGUUAAUGCUUAUACUGCCCUUACAAUAUACCUUUAUGUCCUCAAUGGCUCUCUGUUUAAAAUGGUCAAGUUAAAGGAAUAGUUCAACACUGGGAAAUUUGCUUGUUCUUUGUGUUGCCAAGAGUUAGAUGAGUAGAUACUCACAUGUUUGUGUGAGAAAUAUGAAGCUACAACUAGCAGCCAGUUAGCUUAGCUUGCAUAAAGACUGAAUAUAGGCAGAAACACCUAGCCUGGCUCUGCCCAAAGGUCAAUGUCCAUGUGUGAAAAUGAUUUUUUCAAUGAUUGAUCAUUUUUAUCCUUAUGUUAUUUGUACAGGUUAAACAAAUGAGAUAUAAAAUUUUUAAUUAGUGAGUUUUCAAGCUGUUGGUGGGAUGAUUUUGUUACCUCCACAUAGACCCAGGCAUGUUGGACUAUUCCUUUAACAGAAUAAAGAAAGCCUAACAAACAGAGCUUGGCAUUUGGCUGAACCUCACAAGAAACCUCUUGUUUGGAAGCCUAAUUGAACUGCCGAUGAGUAUUUUAGUGUGGUGAGUCAGGGUGUUCAUUAUUGUUUUAGCACGUGGGGUUGAUAAAGGUCUUUCAGCAGCUCAAGUCUCCCCUGGAUUUUCAGAUCUUUCUUCAAUAGCUCUUUUCAGACGGCACUAUGUACAGUACGAGAAAGCUGGCAUCACUUUAUUCUCUGCGCACGGAUGCUGUGAUGCUUCACAAGAGGAAGUGUCUAAUCAUUACGGUGGAAAUAAAAAAGACGAAAGAUGCAUUUGUCUUGGGCGUCUAGUGCCUUUCUCUCAGUGCGGUGAUGGAUGACAACCUUGGUGUGGAGUGUGUGUGUUUGUCUAUCGUAGCCGUGCAAAGUGACCAGGGACAGGCGCCAACAGAAAAAGGCCCUGUCCCCCAACUAAUGAGCAGCAUUAUUCAAAUGGAGUCUUUGUUGUCAGUGCACUGCGCUGUAGUCCGCACACUGUUGUCAAAGGCAGCAUCGCCUGAUGCACCGCUUCCUCAUGUUGAUACUUCACCAGUUUAUCUCCUAUUGAAAUGCAUGUGGGAAAAUAAGGCAUCUUAAAACUGCUGGUAGUUCAGAUUUCACUUAUGGUUCUGUAUGUACACCACCCUGCUGGAGAUCAUCUGUUAGUGAUCACUGGUUUAACAUACCCAUCUCCCAAAAAUAAUAAAGGAAUGAUUUUGUUGCACUGUAGCCUCAGAGGACUCAGAUGAAAGCUGUCUCAGAGGAGGAUUACCCUCUGUGCUGCCAAUACAUGGUGUCAGCACAGGAUCAAGCAGCAGGUGGGCACUGAGCAAAAGGCACAAAAAAAACCCCAGCAAACACAAAAUGUCAACAAAUAGAGGAAUAUCACCCAGUUUGUCUAUCACACAGUGGAGUCACAUGAAAAAAAUCAGGAGAGGAUCUUUCAAGGCCUGCGCCAGCUGACAGGAGGAGCAGCAGUGAAUAAAGGAGGAGGGAAAAAAAAGAUGGGAGUCGAAAGAGAAAAAUCAGCCUUUCUACAAAGAAGGACGGGCGGAAAAAAGAAGGCAGGGUGUUGGAGGAAGCUCCUCCGACCGAGCCCAUCUCCAGCUGUCACAAAUCAUUUCUGCUCGGGAAGUGAGGGGAGGCGAAAUGUCAAAAUAUUUGAAUAAAUUCCACAGAAGCCUGUUGAGAGUGGGGCGGUGCGGUGAGAGGGGUAUUGU